UACGGAGGGUGCAAACGUUGCUCGGAAUCAUUGGGCGUAAAGCGCACGUAGGCGGCCUGAUAAGUCGGAUGUGAAAGCCCCGGGCUCAACCCGGGAAGUGCACUCGAUACUGCGAGGCUAGAGUACUGGAGAGGUUGGUGGAAUUCUCGGUGUAGAGGUGAAAUUCGUAGAUAUCGAGAGGAACACCGGCGGCGAAGGCGGCCAACUGGACAGAUACUGACGCUGAGACUCGAAAGCGUGGGGAGCAAACAGG
rnacentral:rRNA from 1 species